ACCACCAGAGUUCCAU
rnacentral:sRNA from 1 species